GACGAACGCUGGCGGCGUGCUUAACACAUGCAAGUCGAACGGAAAGGCCCUGCUUUUGUGGGGUGCUCGAGUGGCGAACGGGUGAGUAACACGUGAGUAUCCUGCACUUGACUUUGGGAUAACUUCAGGAAACUGGGGCUAAUACCGGAUAGGAGCUACUGCUGCAUGGGGGGGGUUGGAAAGUUUCGGCGGUUGGGGAUGGACUCGCGGCUUAUCAGCUUGUUGGUGGGGUAGUGGCUUACCAAGGCUUUGACGGGUAGCCGGCCUGAGAGGGUGACCGGGCACAUGGGGACUAAGAGACGGCGCAGACGCCUACGGGAGGCAGCAGUGGGGAGUAUUGCGCAAUGGGCGGAAGCCUGAUGCAGCAGCGCCGCGUGCGGGAUGACGGCCUUCGGGUGGUAAACCGCUUUCGCCUGUGACGAAGCGUGAGUGACGGUAAUGGGUAAAGAAGCACCGGCUAACUACGUG
rnacentral:rRNA from 1 species